UACGAAGGGGGCUAGCGUUGCUCGGAAUGACUGGGCGUAAAGGGCGCGUAGGCGGGCUGUACAGUCAGAUGUGAAAUUCCCGGGCUCAACCUGGGGGCUGCAUUUGAUACGUAUGGUCUUGAGUGGGGAAGAGGGUCGUGGAAUUCCCAGUGUAGAGGUGAAAUUCGUAGAUAUUGGGAAGAACACCGGUGGCGAAGGCGGCGACCUGGUCCUUUUACUGACGCUGAGGCGCGAAAGCGUGGGGAGCGAACAGG
rnacentral:rRNA from 1 species